rnacentral:rRNA from 1 species
GGCGGCGAGGAGCGAGGGGCUGCGGUUGUGGAUGGGGAUUGGACUGGACCGCGGCCAGGAAGAAAAUUAAGGAAAGCAGCACAAGAAAAGCUCAGAAAGAUGAUCAAACCAAAUAGGGAAAUCCGGGGGUCUCCGGGCAGCAGAGGAUGGCCGGGAUGAGAUCCCCCGCCGCGGGAGACGGGGGCAGAGGGCGAGAGUUGGCGGCUGCGGAUGGGUUAUUUGGUGAUUGCGGGUGGGACUUUAACGCGUGGUUGUUUGGAGAAGAGACGAAGUUAAUGCGGCAUCAACAUUUUCC